AGAGUUUGAUUAUGGCUCAAGAUGAACGCUGGCGGCGUGCUUAACACGUGCAAGUCGAACGGAGAUAAACCGUGAAGAGAUUUCGGUCGAUUCCUGUUUAUCUUAGUGGCGGACGGGUGAGUAACGCGUGGGUAACCUGCCCUGUACAGGGGGAUAACACUUAUAAAUAGGUGCUAAAACCGCAUAAGCGCACAGUACCGCAUGGUACAGUGUGAAAAACUCCGGUGGUACAGGAUGGACCCGCGUCUGAUUAGCUGGUUGGAGGGGUAACGGCCCACCAAGGCGACGAUCAGUAGCCGGCCUGAGAGGGUGAACGGCCACAUUGGGACUGAGACACGGCCCAAACUCCUACGGGAGGCAGCAGUGGGGAAUAUUGCACAAUGGGGGAAACCCUGAUGCAGCGACGCCGCGUGAGUGAAGAAGUAUUUCGGUAUGUAAAGCUCUAUCAGCAGGGAAGAUAAUGACGGUACCUGAGUAAGAAGCCCCGGCUAACUACGUGCCAGCAGCCGCGGUAAUACGUACGGGGCAAGCGUUAUCCGGAUUUACUGGGUGUAAAGGGAGCGUACACGGCAUGGCAAGUCUGAAGUGAAAGCCCGGGGCUCAACCGCGGGACUGCUUUGGAAACUGUUAAGCUGG
rnacentral:rRNA from 1 species